rnacentral:misc_RNA from 1 species
AAAGUCGUAACAAGGUUUCCGUAGGUGAACCUGCGGAAGGAUCAUUAGUGAAUAUCAGGGCGCUCUUUUCUGCGGAAGCGAUCAGAGGCCUGACCUCCACUUAUCCUUAACACUGUGCACCUUUCAAAACAAGCGAGUCUGUGGUUCUCGAGGUUCACGCUUCGAGUCCCGCUCGCUUUCACCUUUAACACUAGUCAAAGAAUGUAAAUAAAACAUAACAAAGAAAAACUUUCAACAACGGAUCUCUUGGCUCUC